rnacentral:rRNA from 1 species
GCUGGCGGCGUGCCUAAUACAUGCAAGUCGAGCGAACGGACGAGAAGCUUGCUUCUCUGAUGUUAGCGGCGGACGGGUGAGUAACACGUGGAUAACCUACCUAUAAGACUGGGAUAACUUCGGGAAACCGGAGCUAAUACCGGAUAAUAUUUUGAACCGCAUGGUUCAAAAGUGAAAGACGGUCUUGCUGUCACUUAUAGAUGGAUCCGCGCUGCAUUAGCUAGUUGGUAAGGUAACGGCUUACCAAGGCAACGAUGCAUAGCCGACCUGAGAGGGUGAUCGGCCACACUGGAACUGAGACACGGUCCAGACUCCUACGGGAGGCAGCAGUAGGGAAUCUUCCGCAAUGGGCGAAAGCCUGACGGAGCAACGCCGCGUGAGUGAUGAAGGUCUUCGGAUCGUAAAACUCUGUUAUUAGGGAAGAACAUAUGUGUAAGUAACUGUGCACAUCUUGACGGUACCUAAUCAGAAAGCCACGGCUAACUACGUGCCAGCAGCCGCGGUAAUACGUAGGUGGCAAGCGUUAUCCGGAAUUAUUGGGCGUAAAGCGCGCGUAGGCGGUUUUUUAAGUCUGAUGUGAAAGCCCACGGCUCAACCGUGGAGGGUCAUUGGAAACUGGAAAACUUGAGUGCAGAAGAGGAAAGUGGAAUUCCAUGUGUAGCGGUGAAAUGCGCAGAGAUAUGGAGGAACACCAGUGGCGAAGGCGACUUUCUGGUCUGUA